rnacentral:rRNA from 1 species
UCCUCUGGAUCAGUGGCGAACGGGUGAGUAACACGUGAGUAACCUGCCCUUGACUCUGGGAUAAGCACUGGAAACGGUGUCUAAUACCGGAUACGAGCUUCAGCCGCAUGGCUAGGAGCUGGAAAGAAUUUCGGUCAAGGAUGGACUCGCGGCCUAUCAGCUAGUUGGUGAGGUAAUGGCUCACCAAGGCGACGACGGGUAGCCGGCCUGAGAGGGUGNCCGGCCACACUGGGACUGAGACACGGCCCAGACUCCUACGGGAGGCAGCAGUGGGGAAUAUUGCACAAUGGGCGCAAGCCUGAUGCAGCAACGCCGCGUGAGGGACGACGGCCUUCGGGUUGUAAACCUCUUUUAGAAGGGAAGAAGCGAAAGUGACGGUACCUGCAGAAAAAGCACCGGCUAACUACGUGCCAGCAGCCGCGGUAAUACGUAGGGUGCAAGCGUUAUCCGGAAUUAUUGGGCGUAAAGAGCUCGUAGGCGGUUUGUCGCGUCUGCUGUGAAAACUGGAGGCUCAACCUCCAGCCUGCAGUGGGUACGGGCAGACUAGAGUGCGGUAGGGGAGAUUGGAAUUCCUGGUGUAGCGGUGGAAUGCGCAGAUAUCAGGAGGAACACCGAUGGCGAAGGCAGAUCUCUGGGCCGUAACUGACGCUGAGGAGCGAAAGCAUGGGGAGCGAACAGGAUUAGAUACCCUGGUAGUCCAUGCCGUAAACGUUGGGAACUAGAUGUAGGGACCAUUCCACGGUUUCUGUGUCGCAGCUAACGCAUUAAGUUCCCCGCCUGGGGAGUACGGCCGCAAGGCUAAAACUCAAAGGAAUUGACGGAAUCGA